rnacentral:rRNA from 1 species
AUCUACAGUCAUGCUACCUUGAACACGCCUGAUCCCAUCUGAUCUCGGAAGCUAAGCAGGGCCUGGCCUGGUUAGUACUUGGAUGGGAGACCACCUAGGAAGACCAGGUGCUGUAGGCG